GCGAAAGCAGAGCUUCUGCAACACGCUUUCUUUCCUCAACACUCUUUUUGUUACCAUGGGAAAAAAGUUCAAAUGGGUUGGAGCUCCAGCUAUAUCCGGCCCCCAACAUGAGACCUCCCACAAGAGAAAGAGGAAGGCAGAAAGGAAGAGUCCAAGGCUCGCAGAAAAGGCGAUUGAAAGAAGAUAAGAAGAAAGAGCUUUUCGUGAAGAAGAGGCGUGCUAGUUUUGGGGGUAAGUAGAACGACGCCGUCCCAGAUCUGGAGGAUCAGGAGGCUGCGAAGGUCUCCUUGGAAGAGCAAAUGCAAUUGAAUGCCGAUGAUCUCAAUUCUGGUGGUUUUUCUUUAUAGAAAUUUAGUGAAAUACCCAUUCCUAGACAUAUAACUAUAAAUAUACCCUAUACUAUUUAAUACAUAUAAACACACCCAAAAUAAACCCAAAAAUUAACAGCUGUCGAUUUUUUAAAUUUAAUAGCAAUGUUGGAUUAUUGUUUUGCCCUUUUGCCCAAAAUAAAUCCAGCUUCAAGGCUCAAUUAAGAUAAUCGACGAUUGCUCCUUCAAAAUCUUGGAGCUGGUCUGUGAGACUCAAAAUCUUGGAGCUGAUCUUGCAGCUAUUUCCAGAUCUCAUAGCUCAAUCUCUCGCAUCUCAGUCACAGGCAAGGUCGUUUUACAACUCAGGCGGUGGACUCGGGUCCUUAUC